rnacentral:rRNA from 1 species
UACAGAGGGCCCGAGCGUUGUUCGGAUUCACUGGGCGUAAAGGGUGCGUAGGUGGUGAGGUAAGUCGGAUGUGAAAUCUCCGAGCUCAACUCGGAAAAUGCAUUGGAAACUACCUUGCUAGAGGGUUGGAGGGGGGACUGGAAUACUUGGUGUAGCAGUGAAAUGCGUAGAUAUCAAGUGGAACACCAGUGGCGAAGGCGAGUCCCUGGACAACACCUGACACUGAGGCACGAAAGCUAGGGGAGCAAACAGG